CUACAUUGAUGUUGUUUACCUUAGAUUCCGCAUAUCAGAGAGCUGGGAGGUCAAACUGAUAGGAAAGAACAGCCUGUUGCGAUAAGUGAUGGCAGAGAAAGUGAGAGAAGAGGAGCAUGGUGUGCCCAUAGCCUUUGGCACUAAGGAUAAAAAGAAAAAAGAACAACUAUUGAAAGUGAUGGGAGAGAAAGUGAGAGAAGUGGAGCAUGAUGUGCCCAUAGCAUUUGGCACUAAGUAUAAAAAGGGGAUAGAACAUCUAUUGAAAGGUCUGUACAGAUGAGUGUAACCCGGUUUAUUACUUUGAAAGAAAUGUAUUAAUGCCAUGUAAAUUGCUACCGUAACAGAAAUAGUUAUAUAUUAUUUAACAUUCUCAGCAAAGGAAAUCUGGUCAAAAUUGUGCAUGUAUUGUAAAAUGUAAAAAGUAAAGGUUAGGGAAUAUAAUAUACAUUCAGUUAAUUCCAGCAAAUACAUGUGCAUAUGGAGUUGAAAAUAUAACUCAUAUUUUGCAUUUGUUUACCAGAUUCAGCAACUCAAAGGGUGACUUGUAUAUUGAUUGAAAAAGACUUUGUAUAUAUUUGGAAUGAAAGAGUAUGUGUCUGAUGUAUCUUUUUUGUGAAUGAAUUGGUAGUGGCAUAAUUUAGACACAGUUGAAUUUUGUGAUUAUAUGCUGAGAGCAAAUAUGAUCUUGGCUACAUCUGCUAAUCAAAGUUUGUGGAAGAUGAGUAUAAUAAGUAAAUAACCUACG